GCAUCACUGGUGUUCGGGUUGUCAUGCCAAUGGCACUGCCCGGUAGCUAAAUGCGGAAGAGAUAAGUGCUGAAAGCAUCUAAGCACGAAACUUGCCCCGAGAUGAGUUCUCCCUGACUCCUUGAGAGUCCUGAAGGAACGUUGAAGACGACGACGUUGAUAGGCCGGGUGUGUAAGCGCAGCGAUGCGUUGAGCUAACCGGUACUAAUGAACCGUGAGGCUUAACCUUACAACGCCGAAG
rnacentral:rRNA from 1 species